AUUGAACGCUGGCGGCAGGCCUAACACAUGCAAGUCGAGCGGAUGAAGGGAGCUUGCUCCUGGAUUCAGCGGCGGACGGGUGAGUAAUGCCUAGGAAUCGGCCUGGUAGUGGGGGAUAACGUCCGGAAACGGGCGCUAAUACCGCAUACGUCCUGAGGGAGAAAGUGGGGGAGCUUCGGACCUCACGCUAUCAGAUGAGCCUAGGUCGGAUUAGCUAGUUGGGGGGGGAAAGGCCUACCCAGGCGACGAUCCGUAACUGGUCUGAGAGGAUGAUCAGCCACACUGGAACUGAGACACGGUCCAGACUCCUACGGGAGGCAGCAGUGGGGAAUAUUGGACAAUGGGCGAAAGCCUGAUCCAGCCAUGCCGCGUGUGUGAAGAAGGUCUUCGGAUUGUAAAGCCCUUUAGGUUGGGAGGAAGGGCAUUAGGUUAAUACCUUGCUGUUUUGACGUUACCAACAGAAUAAGCACCGGCUAACUUCGUG
rnacentral:rRNA from 1 species